rnacentral:rRNA from 1 species
AGCAGCCGCGGUAAUUCCAGCUCCAAUAGCGUAUAUUAAAGUUGUUGCAGUUAAAAAGCUCGUAGUUGAAUUUCGAGAUCAGUACGCUGGUCGUGCCUUCGGUAUGCACUGGUGUCACUGGUUUCUCCCUUCUGAAGAACCGUCAUGCCAUUCAGUUGGUGUGGCGGGGAAUCAGGACUGUUACUUUGAAAAAAUUAGAGUGUUUAAAGCAGGCUCGUGCUUGAAUACAUUAGCAUGGAAUAAUGAAAUAGGACGUUUGACCCUAUUUUGUUGGUUUCUAGGAUCGACGUAAUGAUUAAUAGGGAUAGUUGGGGGCAUUAGUAUUCAAUUGUCAGAGGUGAAAUUCUUGGAUUUAUUGAAGACUAACUACUGCGAAAGCAUUUGCCAAGGAUGUUUUCAUUAAUCAAGAACGAAAGUUAGGGGAUCGAAGACGAUCAGAUACCGUCGUAGUCUUAACCAUAAACUAUGCCGACUAGGGAUCGGAUGAUGUUAAUUUUUAAUGA